UUGGUCAAUGGCCGAAAGUCUGAUCCAGUAUCUGUAGAUGUUAGUGUAUUUGUAUAAAUACAAUAGCGAUUAAUCGCAUAUAAUACUAAAUAGAUUGUAUAUAAUGUCAUAAUCUAUUUAUAAGUCUUGGCCAAACUUCGUGCCAGCAGUCGCGGUAAUACGUAGUAGGCUAAUGUUAGUUAUCUAUAUUGGGUUUAAAGGGUAAGUAGACGGUAAAUUAAACUCUAAACGAGUUCUAUUUUACUAGAGUUAUAUGAGAGAAGGAUUAAUUCCUGGAGUAGAGAUAAAAUUUGUUAAUACCAGGAGGACUGUCAACGGCGAAGGCGACCUUCUAUGUAAUAACUGUCGUUGAGAGACGAAGGCUUGGGUAGCAAAUAGGAUUAGAUACCCUACUAGUCCAAGCAGACAAUGAUGAAUGUCAUAUAUUAGAAUAAUAUUUAAUGUAUAAACGAAAGUGUAAGCAUUCCACCUCAAGAGUACUAUGGCAACAUAUAAACUGAAAUCAUUAGACCGUUUCUAAAACCAGUAGUGAAGUAU
rnacentral:rRNA from 1 species